UACGUAGGGAGCAAGCGUUGUCCGGAAUCAUUGGGCGUAAAGCGCGCGUAGGCGGCCUCAUAAGUCCGUUGUGAAAGUCAAAGGCUCAACCUUUGAAAGCCGAUGGAUACUGUGAGGCUAGAGUCCGGAAGAGGCGAGUGGAAUUCCUGGUGUAGCGGUGAAAUGCGUAGAUAUCUGGAGGAACACCGGUGGCGAAGGCGGCAUCCUGGACCGACACUGACGCUGAGGCGCGAAAGCUAGGGGAGCAAACGGG
rnacentral:rRNA from 1 species